GACGCCCUGCGGUGUUGGUGACAGCCCGCAGUGUUUUGUUCCAACACCUUUUUGAUAGGGAGUCCGGACGUCACCGGGGACUGUAACGUACGCCUGCUUGUCAGGACACGAGACCUCCUUGGGCAGGACACCCACCUGCGCGAGCAGGAUCAAAACCUUGGGUUGCACGGCAAUUGCGGGGCGCCG
rnacentral:other from 2 species